rnacentral:rRNA from 1 species
UAGGGAAUCUUCCGCAAUGGGCGAAAGCCUGACGGAGCAACGCCGCGUGAGUGAUGAAGGUCUUUGGAUCGUAAAACUCUGUUAUUAGGGAAGAACAAAUGUGUAAGUAACUAUGCACGUCUUGACGGUACCUAAUCAGAAAGCCACGGCUAACUACGUGCCAGCAGCCGCGGUAAUACGUAGGUGGCAAGCGUUAUCCGGAAUUAUUGGGCGUAAAGCGCGCGUAGGCGGUUUUUUAAGUCUGAUGUGAAAGCCCACGGCUCAACCGUGGAGGGUCAUUGGAAACUGGAAAACUUGAGUGCAGAAGAGGAAAGUGGAAUUCCAUGUGUAGCGGUGAAAUGCGCAGAGAUAUGGAGGAACACCAGUGGCGAAGGCGACUUUCUGGUCUGUAACUGACGCUGAUGUGCGAAAGCGUGGGGAUCAAACAGG